UAGAGGCCUACCAUGGUGGUAACGGGUAACGGGGUGUUAGGGCACGACACCGGAGAGGGAGCCUGAGAAACGGCUACCACAUCCAAGGAUGGCAGCAGGCGCGCAAAUUACCCAAUCCCGACACGGGGAGGUAGUGACAAUAAAUAACAAUACGGGGUUCUUUCGGAUCUCGUAAUUGGAAUGAGUACAAUUUAAAUCUCUUAACGAGGAACAAUUGGAGGGCAAGUCUGGUGCCAGCAGCCGCGGUAAUUCCAGCUCCAAUAGCGUAUAUUAAAGUUGUUGCAGUUAAAAAGCUCGUAGUUGAAUUUCGGGGUUAGUAGGUUGGUCAUGCCUCUGGUAUGUACUGAUCUCACUGAUUCCUCCUUCCUGAUGAACCGUAAUGCCAUUAAUUUGGUGUUGCGGGGAAUUUGGACUGUUACUUUGAAAAAAUUAGAGUGUUUAAAGCAAGCUAACGCUUGAAUACAUUAGCAUGGAAUAAUGAAAUAGGACGUUCGAUCCUAUUUUGUUGGUUUCUAGGAUUGACGUAAUGAUUAAUAGGGAUAGUUGGGGGCAUUAGUAUUCAAUUGUCAGAGGUGAAAUUCUUGGAUUUAUUGAAGACUAACUACUGCGAAAGCAUUUGCCAAGGAUGUUUUCAUUAAUCAAGAACGAAAGUUAGGGGAUCGAAGACGAUCAGAUACCGUCGUAGUCUUAACCAUAAACUAUGCCGACUAGGGAUCGGAUGAUGUA
rnacentral:rRNA from 1 species